rnacentral:rRNA from 1 species
UGAAUACGAGAUGCUACGGCAUUGAAGCAGUGUAUGUCAGACUUCCAAGAAAAGCUCGCAAUGUCAUGAACAAAAAAUGCCUGUACCAUAACCGACACAGGUGGGUAGGUAGAGUAUACUAAGGGGCGCGAGAUAACUCUCUCUAAGGAACUCGGCAAAAUGACUCCGUAACUUCGGGAGAAGGAGUGCCUUAUUUAUUAAGGUUGCAAUAACAAGAUCCAAGCAACUGUUUACCAAAAACACAGGUCUCCGCUAAGUCGUAAGACGAUGUAUGGGGGCUGACGCCUGCCCAGUGCCAGAAGGUUAAAGAAGUUGGUUAGCAUUGCGAAGCUGAUGACUGAAGCCCUGGUGAACGGCGGCCGUAACAAUAACGGUCCUAAGGUAGCGAAAUUCCUUGUCGGGUAAGUUCCGACCCGCACGAAAGGCGUAAUGAUUUGGAUACUGUCUCGGAGAGGGGCUCGGUGAAAUAGACUUGUCUGUGAAGAUGCGGACUACCUGCACCAGGACAGAAAGACCCUAUGAAGCUUUACUGUAACUUGAGAUUGAAAUUGGACUUUAUUUGCGCAGUAUAGGUGGGAGACGUUGAGAAUAUUCUUGCGGGAAUAUUGGAGUCAUCAGUGAGAUACCACUCUUGUAAUGUUAGAUUUCUAACUUUGUAUCAUUAUCUGGUCAAAGAACAGUCUCAGGCGGGCAGUUUGACUGGGGCGGUCGCCUCCCAAACGGUAACGGAGGCGCACAAAGGUUUCCUCUGAACGUGUAGAAAUCGUAUCUAGAGUGUAAAGGCAUAAGGAAGCUUGACUGUGAGACCUACAAGUCGAGCAGGGACGAAAGUCGGUCUUAGUGAUCUGACGGUGCUGAGUGGAAAGGCCGUCACUCAACGGAUAAAAGUUACUCUAGGAUAACAGGCUGAUCUCCCCCAAGAGUUCACAUCGACGGGGAGGUUUGGCACCUCGAUGUCGGCUCAUCGCAUCCUGGGGCGGUAGUACGUCCCAAGGGUUGGGCUGUUCGCCCAUGAAAGCGGUACGCGAGCUGGGUUCAGAACGUCGUGAGACAGUUCGGUCCAUAUCCGGUGUAGGCGUUAGAAUAUUGAGAGGAGCCUUCUUUAGUACGAGAGGACCGAGAAGGACAUACCUCUGGUGUACCAGUUAUCGUGCCAACGGUAAACGCUGGGUAGCUAUGUAUGGAGAGGAUAACCGCUGAAAGCAUCUAAGUGGGAAGCCCACCUCAAGAUAAG